UACGUAGGGUGCGAGCGUUGUCCGGAGUCAUUGGGCGUAAAGAGCUCGUAGGCGGCUUGAUUAGUCGGAUGUGAAACCUCCAGGCUCAACCUGGAGUCGCCAUCCGAUACUGUCAUGGCUAGAGUCCGGUAGGGGCCCACGGAAUUCCUGGUGUAGCGGUGAAAUGCGUAGAUAUCACUUGGAACGCCAAUGGUGAAAACAGAUAGCUGGGGUUGUGCUGACACUGAGACACGAAAGCGUAGGGAGCAAACGGG
rnacentral:rRNA from 1 species